rnacentral:rRNA from 1 species
ACUCAAAGGAAUAGACGGGGGCCCGCACAAGCGGCGGAGCAUGCGGAUUAAUUCGAUGCAACGCGAAGAACCUUACCUGGGUUUGACAUAUGCGAGAACUCUGCAGAGAUGUAGAGCUCUUUGGACACUCGCAUACAGGUGGUGCAUGGCUGUCGUCAGCUCGUGUCGUGAGAUGUUGGGUUAAGUCCCGCAACGAGCGCAACCCUCGUCUUAUGUUGCCAGCACGUAAUGGUGGGGACUCAUAAGAGACUGCCGGGGUCAACUCGGAGGAAGGUGGGGAUGACGUCAAGUCAUCAUGCCCCUUAUGUCCAGGGCUUCACGCAUGCUACAAUGGCCGGUACAAAGGGCUGCGAUACCGCAAGGUGGAGCGAAUCCCAAAAAGCCGGUCUCAGUUCGGAUUGGGGUCUGCAACUCGACCCCAUGAAGUCGGAGUCGCUAGUAAUCGCAGAUCAGCAACGCUGCGGUGAAUACGUUCCCGGGCCUUGCACACACCGCCCGU